GGAGAAGAUUCUGAGGACCUGGAGUUAAUAAUAUCUCUUUUGCAAGAAUACUUUUCUGUGUAAUCUCAAACCUUUCCUACAUACAAGCCCUAGCCAGUAUUCCUCCUUGCUCCAUCUCUGAUUUUCCCUGUGGACUGUUCCAUAACUGGAGUCAUUGCAAACAACCUGGCAUUGGAUGCUUUUGUGCCUCACUGUCUUCUGGAGACUCACCUGGAGCAGGUCCUCAACUACACAGGAAUGAUAUUUUCCAAGGUGUGAGAGCCAGGAGUCCAGAGGUGCCCAGGCUUCAAAUGACUUGUCCAAGGUCACAUCACUGUUAGCACUCUCUGGUUUGGGUCCUGAUCACCUGCCUGUCUACACUUAAUUCCAGUGGAGUGGAGUUGUCCAGCCAGUCCUACACACUUAAUGCCCAGAGUUCCAGCCAUCGACCUUGCCAUCCCCACAGAGAUCCUGGCAUCCCUGAGGCAAUUGUUAGUGUCUGGAAAAUGUGGAUCUGAGAGAACAUGUAAAUACAGAACACUGGCUCUGCUUACUGAGAUGCUUGUUUUCAAAAACCCAGAGGAAGGUUGUAUUUAUAUAUUUAUGUAACAUUCAUGUGCAAUAUUUAAAUUUACAAAAUGUGUAGCAGUGUAACAGAGUGGGCACCAGUUUUUAUUUGGGCAUAUAAUUGUCUUUUCUUUCAUAUUCAUUUAUUCCUUUGAUUUCUAUAAUGCCUUCUCUACUUGGUCUUCUGAGAUCAUG